CGCUGGCGGCGUGCUUAACACAUGCAAGUCGAGCGAUGAAGCUCCUUCGGGAGUGGAUUAGCGGCGGACGGGUGAGUAACACGUGGGUAACCUGCCUCAUAGAGGGGAAUAGCCUUUCGAAAGGAAGAUUAAUACCGCAUAAGAUUGUAGUACCGCAUGGUACAGCAAUUAAAGGAGUAAUCCGCUAUGAGAUGGACCCGCGUCGCAUUAGCUAGUUGGUGAGGUAACGGCUCACCAAGGCGACGAUGCGUAGCCGACCUGAGAGGGUGAUCGGCCACAUUGGGACUGAGACACGGCCCAGACUCCUACGGGAGGCAGCAGUGGGGAAUAUCGCACAAUGGGGGAAACCCUGAUGCCAGCAACGCCGCGUGAGUGAUGACGGCCUUCGGGUUGUAAAACUCUGUCUUUGGGGACGAUAAUGACGGUGCCCAAGGAGGAAGCCACGGCUAACUACGUGCCAGCAGCGGC
rnacentral:rRNA from 1 species